rnacentral:rRNA from 1 species
ACGUAGGGGGCGAGCGUUGUUCGGAAUGAUUGGGCGUAAAGGGCGUCUAGGCGGGGCGUUAAGUUAGGAGUGAAAGCUAUGGGCUCAACCCGGGAACUGCAUCUAAAACUGACGGUCUUGAGUGCGGGAGAGGAAAGUGGAAUUCCAGGUGUAGCGGUGAAAUGCGUAGAUAUCGGGAGGAACACCAGUGGCGAAGGCGGCUUACUGGACUAGAACUGACGCUGAGGCGCGAAAGUGUGGGGAGCGAACAG